CCCUGGUGGCUCAGACGGUAAAGCGUCUGCCUACAAUGCGGGAGACCCGGGUUCAAUCCCUGGAUCAGGAA
rnacentral:tRNA from 1 species